UACGUAGGGGGCGAGCGUUAUCCGGAAUUAAUGGGCGUAAAGCGUGCGCAGGCGGUUCGUUGUGUCGGCGGUGAAAGCCCCGGGCUUAACCUGGGAAUGGCCGUUGAAACUGGCGAACUGGAGUGUGGCAGAGGGGGGUGGAAUUCCGCGUGUAGCAGUGAAAUGCGUAGAGAUGCGGAGGAACACCAAAGGCGAAGGCAGUGUCCUGGGGAGUACCUGACGCUCAGGUGCGAAAGCCAGGGGAGCGAACGGG
rnacentral:rRNA from 1 species